GAUGAACGCUGGCGGCGUGCUUAACACAUGCAAGUCGAACGGAAAGGCCCAAGCUUGCUUGGUCACUCGAUUGGCGAACGGGUGAGUAUCACGUGGGUGAACUGCCCUUCACUUCGUGAUAUGCCUGGGAAACUGGGUCUCAUAUCGGAUAGGACGAAGUUUUGGAUGUCAUUGUGGAAUGUUUUUUCGGUGUGGGAUGAGCUCGCGGCCUAUCAGCUUGUUGGUGGGGUAAUGGCCUACCAAGGCGUCGACGGGUCGCCGGCCUGAGAGGGUGUACGGCCACAUUGGGACUGAGAUACGGCCCAGACUCCUACGGGAGGCAGCAGUGGGGAAUAUUGCACAAUGGGCGCAAGCCUGAUGCAGCGAAGCCGCGUGGGGGAUGACGGCCUUCGGGUUGUAAACUCCUUUCGCUAGGGACGAAGCGUUUUUGUGACGGUACCUUGAGAAGAAGCACCGGCUAACUACGUG
rnacentral:rRNA from 1 species